rnacentral:rRNA from 1 species
UACGUAGGGUGCGAGCGUUAAUCGGAAUUACUGGGCGUAAAGUGUGCGCAGGCGGCCGCGCAAGUCGAGUGUGAAAGCCCCGAGCUUAACUUGGGAAUUGCGCUCGAAACUACGUGGCUGGAGUGUGGCAGAGGAAGGUGGAAUUCCACGUGUAGCGGUGAAAUGCGUAGAGAUGUGGAGGAACACCGAUGGCGAAGGCAGCCUCCUGGGCCAGCACUGACGCUCAUGCACGAAAGCGUGGGGAGCAAACAGG